AACGUAGGUGGCGAGCGUUAUCCGGAAUUACUGGGCGUAAAGCGUGUGCAGGCGGGCUGGCAAGUGGUGUAUGAAAUAUCCCGGCUUAACCGGGAGGGGUUAUGCCAGACUGUCAGUCUUGAGUGCGAGAGAGGAGCGUGGAAUUCCGGGUGUAGUGGUGGAAUGCGUAGAGAUCCGGAGGAACACCAGCGGCGAAGGCGGCGUCCUGGACUGGUACUGACGCUCAGGAGCGAAAGCGUGGGGAGCGAUCCGG
rnacentral:rRNA from 1 species